rnacentral:rRNA from 1 species
UACAGAGGUCCCAAGCGUUGUUCGGAUUUACUGGGCGUAAAGGGUGCGUAGGCGGUGAGGAUAGUUUAAGGUGAAAUCUCCAGGCUCAACUUGGAAAAUGCCUCGAAUACUUCCUCGCUAGAGGGUCGCAGAGGAGAUUGGAAUUCUCGGUGUAGCAGUGAAAUGCGUAGAUAUCGAGAGGAACAUCAGUGGCGAAAGCGAAUCUCUGGGCGACUCCUGACGCUGAGGCACGAAAGCCAGGGGAGCAAACGGG